CACAUAUGUGAAGAGUGGCGAACGGGUGAGUAAUACAUAAGUAACCUGGCCUUUACAGGGGGAUAACUAUUGGAAACGAUAGCUAAGACCGCAUAGGUGUGAUAACCGCAUGGAGAUGACAUGAAAUAUGCUACGGCAUAGGUAGAGGAUGGACUUAUGGCGCAUUAGCUAGUUGGAGGGGUAACGGCCCACCAAGGCGACGAUGCGUAGCCGACCUGAGAGGGUGACCGGCCACACUGGGACUGAGACACGGCCCAGACUCCUACGGGAGGCAGCAGUAGGGAAUUUUCGGCAAUGGGGGAAACCCUGACCGAGCAACGCCGCGUGAAGGAAGAAGUAAUUCGUUAUGUAAACUUCUGUCAUAGAGGAAGAACGGUGCGUGUAGGGAAUGACAUGCAAGUGACGGUACUCUAUAAGAAAGCCACGGCUAACUACGUGCCAGCAGCCGCGGUAAUACGUAGGUGGCGAGCGUUAUCCGGAAUUAUUGGGCGUAAAGAGGGAGCAGGCGGCACUAAGGGUCUGUGGUGAAAGAUCGAAGCUUAACUUCGGUAAGCCAUGGAAACCGUAGAGCUAGAGUGUGUGAGAGGAUCGUGGAAUUCCAUGUGUAGCGGUGAAAUGCGUAGAUAUAUGGAGGAACACCUUGGCGAAGGCGACGAUCUGGCGCAUAACUGACGCUCAGUCCCGAAAGCGUGGGGAGCAAAUAGGAUUAGAUACCCUAGUAGUCCACGCCGUAAACGAUGAGUACUAAGUGUUGGGAGUCAAAUCUCAGUGCUGCAGUUAACGCAAUAAGUACUCCGCCUGAGUAGUACGUUCGCAAGAAUGAAACUCAAAGGAAUUGACGGGGGCCCGCACAAGCGGUGGAGCAUGUGGUUUAAUUCGAAGCAACGCGAAGAACCUUACCAGGUCUUGACAUCGAUCUAAAGGCUCCAGAGAUGGAGAGAUAGCUAUAGAGAAGACAGGUGGUGCAUGGUUGUCGUCAGCUCGUGUCGUGAGAUGUUGGGUUAAGUCCCGCAACGAGCGCAACCCUGUUGCCAGUUGCCAGCAUUAAGUUGGGGACUCUGGCGAGACUGCCGGUGACAAGCCGGAGGAAGGCGGGGAUGACGUCAAAUCAUCAUGCCCCUUAUGACCUGGGCUACACACGUGCUACAAUGGACAGAGCAGAGGGAAGCGAAGCCGCGAGGUGGAGCGAAACCCAGAAAACUGUUCUCAGUUCGGACUGCAGUCUGCAACUCGACUGCACGAAGUUGGAAUCGCUAGUAAUCGCGAAUCAGCAUGUCGCGGUGAAUACGUUCUCGGGCCUUGUACACACCGCCCGUCACACCAUGAGAGUCGGUAACACCCGAAGCCGGUGGCCUAACCGCAAGGAAGGAGCUGUCUAAGGUGGGACUGAUGAUUGGGGUGAAGUCGUAACAAGGUA
rnacentral:rRNA from 1 species